rnacentral:rRNA from 1 species
UACGUAGGGUGCGAGCGUUAAUCGGAAUUACUGGGCGUAAAGCGUGCGCAGGCGGUUGUGCAAGACAGGGGUGAAAUCCCCGGGCUUAACCUGGGAAUGGCCUUUGUGACUGCACGGCUAGAGUGUGUCAGAGGGAGGUAGAAUUCCACGUGUAGCAGUGAAAUGCGUAGAUAUGGGGAGGAAUACCGAUGGCGAAGGCAGCCUCCUGGGAUAACACUGACGCUCAUGCACGAAAGCGUGGGGAGCAAACAGG